rnacentral:rRNA from 1 species
GGGUUGUGAGGUUAAGCGACUAAGCGUACACGGUGGAUGCCCUGGCAGUCAGAGGCGAUGAAGGACGUGCUAAUCUGCGAUAAGCGUCGGUAAGGUGAUAUGAACCGUUAUAACCGGCGAUUUCCGAAUGGGGAAACCCAGUGUGAUUCGUCACACUAUCAUUAACUGAAUCCAUAGGUUAAUGAGGCGAACCGGGGGAACUGAAACAUCUAAGUACCCCGAGGAAAGAAAUCAACCGAGAUUCCCCCAGUAGCGGCGAGCGAACGGGGAGCAGCCCAGAGCCUGAAUCAGUAUGUGUGUUAGUGGAAGCGUCUGGAAAGGCGCGCGAUACAGGGUGACAGCCCCGUACACAAAAAUGCACAUGCUGUGAGCUCGAUGAGUAGGGCGGGACACGUGGUAUCCUGUCUGAAUAUGGGGGGACCAUCCUCCAAGGCUAAAUACUCCUGACUGACCGAUAGUGAACCAGUACCGUGAGGGAAAGGCGAAAAGAACCCCGGCGAGGGGAGUGAAAAAGAACCUGAAACCGUGUACGUACAAGCAGUGGGAGCACGCUUAGGCGUGUGACUGCGUACCUUUUGUAUAAUGGGUCAGCGACUUAUAUUCUGUAGCAAGGUUAACCGAAUAGGGGAGCCGAAGGGAAACCGAGUCUUAACUGGGCGUUAAGUUGCAGGGUAUAGACCCGAAACCCGGUGAUCUAGCCAUGGGCAGGUUGAAGGUUGGGUAACACUAACUGGAGGACCGAACCGACUAAUGUUGAAAAAUUAGCGGAUGACUUGUGGCUGGGGGUGAAAGGCCAAUCAAACCGGGAGAUAGCUGGUUCUCCCCGAAAGCUAUUUAGGUAGCGCCUCGUGAAUUCAUCUCCGGGGGUAGAGCACUGUUUCGGCAAGGGGGUCAUCCCGACUUACCAACCCGAUGCAAACUGCGAAUACCGGAGAAUGUUAUCACGGGAGACACACGGCGGGUGCUAACGUCCGUCGUGAAGAGGGAAACAACCCAGACCGCCAGCUAAGGUCCCAAAGUCAUGGUUAAGUGGGAAACGAUGUGGGAAGGCCCAGACAGCCAGGAUGUUGGCUUAGAAGCAGCCAUCAUUUAAAGAAAGCGUAAUAGCUCACUGGUCGAGUCGGCCUGCGCGGAAGAUGUAACGGGGCUAAACCAUGCACCGAAGCUGCGGCAGCGACGCUUAUGCGUUGUUGGGUAGGGGAGCGUUCUGUAAGCCUGUGAAGGUGUGCUGUGAGGCAUGCUGGAGGUAUCAGAAGUGCGAAUGCUGACAUAAGUAACGAUAAAGCGGGUGAAAAGCCCGCUCGCCGGAAGACCAAGGGUUCCUGUCCAACGUUAAUCGGGGCAGGGUGAGUCGACCCCUAAGGCGAGGCCGAAAGGCGUAGUCGAUGGGAAACAGGUUAAUAUUCCUGUACUUGGUGUUACUGCGAAGGGGGGACGGAGAAGGCUAUGUUGGCCGGGCGACGGUUGUCCCGGUUUAAGCGUGUAGGCUGGUUUUCCAGGCAAAUCCGGAAAAUCAAGGCUGAGGCGUGAUGACGAGGCACUACGGUGCUGAAGCAACAAAUGCCUGCUUCCAGGAAAAGCCUCUAAGCAUCAGGUAACAUCAAAUCGUACCCCAAACCGACACAGGUGGUCAGGUAGAGAAUACCAAGGCGCUUGAGAGAACUCGGGUGAAGGAACUAGGCAAAAUGGUGCCGUAACUUCGGGAGAAGGCACGCUGAUAUGUAGGUGAAGUCCCUCGCGGAUGGAGCUGAAAUCAGUCGAAGAUACCAGCUGGCUGCAACUGUUUAUUAAAAACACAGCACUGUGCAAACACGAAAGUGGACGUAUACGGUGUGACGCCUGCCCGGUGCCGGAAGGUUAAUUGAUGGGGUUAGCGCAAGCGAAGCUCUUGAUCGAAGCCCCGGUAAACGGCGGCCGUAACUAUAACGGUCCUAAGGUAGCGAAAUUCCUUGUCGGGUAAGUUCCGACCUGCACGAAUGGCGUAAUGAUGGCCAGGCUGUCUCCACCCGAGACUCAGUGAAAUUGAACUCGCUGUGAAGAUGCAGUGUACCCGCGGCAAGACGGAAAGACCCCGUGAACCUUUACUAUAGCUUGACACUGAACAUUGAGCCUUGAUGUGUAGGAUAGGUGGGAGGCUUUGAAGUGUGGACGCCAGUCUGCAUGGAGCCGACCUUGAAAUACCACCCUUUAAUGUUUGAUGUUCUAACGUGGACCCGUAAUCCGGGUUGCGGACAGUGUCUGGUGGGUAGUUUGACUGGGGCGGUCUCCUCCUAAAGAGUAACGGAGGAGCACGAAGGUUGGCUAAUCCUGGUCGGACAUCAGGAGGUUAGUGCAAUGGCAUAAGCCAGCUUGACUGCGAGCGUGACGGCGCGAGCAGGUGCGAAAGCAGGUCAUAGUGAUCCGGUGGUUCUGAAUGGAAGGGCCAUCGCUCAACGGAUAAAAGGUACUCCGGGGAUAACAGGCUGAUACCGCCCAAGAGUUCAUAUCGACGGCGGUGUUUGGCACCUCGAUGUCGGCUCAUCACAUCCUGGGGCUGAAGUAGGUCCCAAGGGUAUGGCUGUUCGCCAUUUAAAGUGGUACGCGAGCUGGGUUUAGAACGUCGUGAGACAGUUCGGUCCCUAUCUGCCGUGGGCGCUGGAGAAUUGAGGGGGGCUGCUCCUAGUACGAGAGGACCGGAGUGGACGCAUCACUGGUGUUCGGGUUGUCAUGCCAAUGGCACUGCCCGGUAGCUAAAUGCGGAAGAGAUAAGUGCUGAAAGCAUCUAAGCACGAAACUUGCCCCGAGAUGAGUUCUCCCUGACUCCUUGAGAGUCCUGAAGGAACGUUGAAGACGACGACGUUGAUAGGCCGGGUGUGUAAGCGCAGCGAUGCGUUGAGCUAACCGGUACUAAUGAACCGUGAGGCUUAACCUUACAACGCCGAAGGUGUUU